CUUUUCCAUGCCUCCCCCCACCCCACAUCUCUCAGGUUGCUGCUCACAGGUCACCUCUUGGAGGGGUCUCUCCCUGUGACUGUGUUUGGAACAGCUCCCUCAGUUUCUUUCUAGCUCAUCUCACUCUGGUAAUGUCUUUCAUUACCACCACCAUCUGACCUAGUCUUAUGACCUGUUAGCUUCCUUCAUCAGACAUGAGCACCAGGAUGGCAGGGGCCUCAUCUGUCUUGUUCCUCCUGUGGCCUGGGUCCUAGCACCAUGUCUGAUCCUGGUCAGAGUAAAACAUUCCAUGGGAACUCGGGCUGUGAGAAACAUCCUAACCACCUGACUGCAGAAACAUCCUUAUCACAUCCUGCUGGGCAAGGGCCCAACAGCCUGACUUCAGGAACAUCCUUAUCAUCUUCUACUGAGCAGCAAGCUAUACUGUCCAGAGCCCUCCCUCCCAGCCCCAUGAUUACCCCAGCCUGUAAGUGGCAGUGGGCGCUGACACUAAGCUGGUUUCCCCCUCCGCAGGGUUUUGCUAGUAAUAAACCUGUGUUGCUGUUGAA
rnacentral:lncRNA from 1 species